AGUAAGGGCACGAUCAUAAACGGAUGCCCAUAUAUCAACUGUUGUUAAUAUGUGGUAAUCCAGCUGUGUGUCCUCCAAAGUUUGUAGAGGGGAGGACACUCACGUGACCUCGAGUGAGAGAUAAAAAAGGUAUAUAUAGAGAAACUGCCGAUACUUCAGCGCUGCCUUCUUGAAUUCAUUUAGACAACCAUUUGACUUAGGGUAAUUGGCACCUGACUCAAAUUACUUAAAGAUUCUAACUUGUUGGAUCUGAGAAGUGUCUCUCCGAUAUACCGUUUAACUAUUGAACAGCUGUUCUGUCGCCUGCGGCCUUGUGUGUGUGUAUACUGACGCAAAUUACAUCUAGAGAAAGUCUCAGUAACUUAUCCUCUCGAUUGAGCUCAGUACCUCGCCCUCGUUGUAUGGCACAGAUUAUUCAAUAUUCCAGUGGGGCAGGGAAUCACCAGCGGGUUCUCUCAUCCAGUCCAAACUUGAAUCUCUAAAUUUAGUAAAGCACCGACUCCAAUUCAACCUCUCAGCCAGUAGAGGGGAGUCGCUACCUACCUAAAUUCUUAAAAGAACUCUGACCGACUGAAACUCUGCUCCUGAUACCGUGGGUCUCCCUGUCAUCUUUUAAAGAGAAUUUGGCAGUACGUCCAACCGGCAUCACAACCGCAGACCAAGUGUAAUCACGCCAAUCCAGGAACUCCAAAUCCGGCUUCUUCACCUUCACCUACACCUGAUUGGCUGGGCCUUGCUCUCCAGUGUGUGGGCCUGAAUCCCAAGUGGGUGGUGCUAUGCCCUCCCAGGCCCACCCAUGGCUCCGCCCCUGCCCAGUCAUGUGAAAUCCAUAGAUUAGGGCCUAAUUUAUUUAUUUCAAUUGACUGAUUUCCUUAUAUGAACUGUAACUCAGGAAAUUUGUUGAAAUUGCAUGUUGAAUUUAUAUUUUUGUUCAGUAUAUAGCAUCUAAACUUUUCCCAUCCACCUGUCACGUCUGCUCCCGCUCUUCCCUUCCCCUGGCGCUUGAGGGCGCCAGAUUACCCUGCAUCACACGCUCCUGCCAUCAAUCAUGCACACCUGCCUUCCCUCAUCACUCGCAUCAGCAUUAUUGGACUCACCUGGACUCACUUAUCUCCUGUUGAUUUCCUCCCCUAUAUUUGUCAGUUCCCCAGCUCUGUUCCCUGCUGAUUCAUUGAUUGUUUUUUGUCUUUGUUUUCUGUUUGCUGACGCUGUUCCUGGCUCGUUAUAUGUCCAUUAUUUAUUCAAUGUUACUCCCCGUACCUGC